rnacentral:rRNA from 1 species
CGCGUAGGUGGUAGUGUAAGUCUGGGGUGGAAUCCCAGGGCUUAACCUUGGAACUGCCUUGGAAAUUGUAUUACUUGAGUCAGUGAGGGGAGGGUAGAAUUCCUGGUGUAGCGGUGAAAUGCGUAGAUAUCAGGAGGAAGGCCUGUGGCGAAGGCGGCCCUCUGGCGCUGGACUGACACUGAGGCGCGAAAGCGUGGGGAGCAAACAGGAUUAGAUACCCUGGUAGUCCACGCCCUAAACGGUGGGCACUAGGUGUAGGGCUCGUAAGGGUUCUGUGCCGAAGGGAAACCAUUAAGUGCCCCGCCUGGGGAGUACGGCCGCAAGGUUGAA